ACCAGGAUAGCUGAGUGGUUAAAGAGUUGGACUUAAAUUCCAAUAGAUGGUUGUCUGUGUGGGUUCAAACCACACUCCUGGUA
rnacentral:tRNA from 1 species